GCGGAAUGCUUUACACAUGCAAGUCGAACGGCAGCACGGACUUCGGUCUGGUGGCGAGUGGCGAACGGGUGAGUAAUAUAUCGGAACGUAUCCAAUAAUGGGGGAUAACUAAUCGAAAGGUUGGCUAAUACCGCAUACGCCCUACGGGGGAAAGCAGGGGAUCUUCGGACCUUGCGUUAAUGGAGCGGCCGAUAUCUGAUUAGCUAGUUGGUGGGGUAAAGGCUCACCAAGGCGACGAUCAGUAGCUGGUCUGAGAGGACGACCAGCCACACUGGAACUGAGACACGGUCCAGACUCCUACGGGAGGCAGCAGUGGGGAAUUUUGGACAAUGGGCGCAAGCCUGAUCCAGCCAUUCCGCGUGAGUGAAGAAGGCCUUCGGGUUGUAAAGCUCUUUCGCAAGGGAAGAAAACUUACAUUCUAAUAAAGUGUGAGGCUGACGGUACCUUGAUAAGAAGCACCGGCUAACUACGUGCCA
rnacentral:rRNA from 1 species